rnacentral:rRNA from 1 species
UGAGGAAUCUUCCACAAUGGGCGAAAGCCUGAUGGAGCAACGCCGCGUGCAGGAUGAAGGCCUUCGGGUCGUAAACUGCUUUUAUAAGUGAAGAAUAUGACGGUAACUUAUGAAUAAGCACCGGCUAACUACGUGCCAACAGCCGCGGUCAUACGUAGGGUGCAAGCAUUAUCCGGAGUGACUGGGCGUAAAGAGUUGCGUAGGUGGUUUGUUAAGUGAAUAGUGAAAUCCGACGGCCCAACCGUACGGACUAUUAUUCAAACUGGCAAACUCGAGAAUGGUAGAGGUAACUGGAAUUUCUAGUGUAGGAGUGAAAUCCGUAGAUAUUAGAAGGAACACCAAUGGCGUAGGCAGGUUACUGGACCAUUUCUGACACUGAGGCACGAAAGCGUGGGGAGCGAACCG